rnacentral:rRNA from 1 species
UACGUAGGGCGCAAGCGUUGUCCGGAAUUAUUGGGCGUAAAGAGCUCGUAGGCGGUCUGUUGCGUCGGCUGUGAAAACCCGGGGCUCAACUCCGGGCCUGCAGCCGAUACGGGCAGACUAGAGUUCGGCAGGGGAGACUGGAAUUCCUGGUGUAGCGGUGAAAUGCGCAGAUAUCAGGAGGAACACCGAUGGCGAAGGCAGGUCUCUGGGCAUUAACUGACGCUGAGGAGCGAAAGCAUGGGGAGCGAACAGG